rnacentral:snRNA from 8 species
AUACUUACCGGCAAAGGGAGACACCGUGAUCAAGAAAGGUGGUUCACCCAGGGCGAGGUUUAGCCAUUGCACUCCGGCUCUGCUGACCCCUGCGAAUUUCCAAAAUGUGGAAAUCUCGAUUGAAUAAUUUGUGGUAGUGGGGGACUGGCGUUCGCGCUCUCCCCUG